CCUACGGGUGGCAGCAGUGGGGAAUAUUGCACAAUGGGCGCAAGCCUGAUGCAGCCAUGCCGCGUGUGUGAAGAAGGCCUUCGGGUUGUAAAGCACUUUCAGCGGGGAGGAAGGCGUUAAGGUUAAUAACCUUGGCGAUUGACGUUACCCGCAGAAGAAGCACCGGCUAACUCCGUGCCAGCAGCCGCGGUAAUACGGAGGGUGCAAGCGUUAAUCGGAAUUACUGGGCGUAAAGCGCACGCAGGCGGUCUGUCAAGUCGGAUGUGAAAUCCCCGGGCUCAACCUGGGAACUGCAUUCGAAACUGGCAGGCUAGAGUCUUGUAGAGGGGGGUAGAAUUCCAGGUGUAGCGGUGAAAUGCGUAGAGAUCUGGAGGAAUACCGGUGGCGAAGGCGGUCCCCUGGACAAAGACUGACGCUCAGGUGCGAAAGCGUGGGGAGCAAACAGGAUUAGAUACCCGAGUAGUC
rnacentral:rRNA from 1 species